CCUACGGGAGGCAGCAGUGAGGAAUAUUGGUCAAUGGACGAGAGUCUGAACCAGCCAAGUAGCGUGAAGGAUGACUGCCCUCUGGGUUGUAAACUUCUUUUAUAUGGGAAUAAAACAGGGUAUGCAUACCCUCUUGUAUGUACCAUAUGAAUAAGGAUCGGCUAACUCCGUGCCAGCAGCCGCGGUAAUACGGAGGAUCCGAGCGUUAUCCGGAUUUAGUGGGUGUAAAGGGGGCGUAGGUGGAUGGUUAAGUCAGUUGUGAAAGUUUGCGGCUCAACCGUGGAAUUGCAGUUGAAACUGGCAGUCUUGAGUGCAGUAGAGGUGGGCGGAAUUCGUGGUGUAGCGGUGAAAUGCUUAGAUAUCACGAAGAACUCCGAUUGCGAAGGCAGCUCACUGGACUGCAACUGACACUGAUGCUCGAAAGUGUGGGUAGCAAACAGGAUUAGAUACCCGAGUAGUC
rnacentral:rRNA from 1 species